AUUGAACGCUGGCGGCAGGCCUAACACAUGCAAGUCGAGCGGGGGCAGAUAGCUUGCUACCGGACCUAGCGGCGGAGGGGUGGGUAAUUCAGAGGAACAUGCCUAUCAGUGGGGGCCAACAUCUCGACGGGGAUGCUAAUACCGCAUACGUGCAACCGGAGAACGCAGGGGAUCAUCGGACCUUGCGCUAAUAGAUGAGCCUAAGUCGGAUUAGCUAGUUGGUGGGGUAAAGGCCUACCAAGGCGACGAUCUGUAGCGGGUCUGAGAGGAUGAUCCGCCACACUGGGACUGAGACACGGCCCAGACUCCUACGGGAGGCAGCAGUGGGGAAUAUUGGACAAUGGGGGGAAGCCUGAUCCAGCCAUGCCGCGUGUGUGAAGAAGGCCUUAGGGUUGUAAAGCACUUUAGGUGGGAAAGAGGCUACUUAGUUAAUACCUGGGGAGAGUGGACGUUACUCGAAGAAUAGGCACCGGCUAACUCUGUGCCAGCAGCCGCCGUAA
rnacentral:rRNA from 1 species